rnacentral:rRNA from 1 species
GACGAACGCUGGCGGCGUGCUUAACACAUGCAAGUCGAACGGAAAGGCCCUGCUUUUGUGGGGUGCUCGAGUGGCGAACGGGUGAGUAACACGUGAGUAACCUGCCCUUGACUUUGGGAUAACUUCAGGAAACUGGGGCUAAUACCGGAUAGGAGCUCCUGCUGCAUGGUGGGGGUUGGAAAGUUUCGGCGGUUGGGGAUGGACUCGCGGCUUAUCAGCUUGUUGGGGGGGUAGUGGCUUACCAAGGCUUUGACGGGUAGCCGGCCUGAGCGGGUGACCGGCCACAUUGGGACUGAGAUACGGCCCAGACUCCUACGGGAGGCAGCAGUGGGGAAUCUUGCACAAUGGGCGGAAGCCUGAUGCAGCAACGCCGCGUGCGGGAUGACGGCCUUCGGGUUGUAAACCACUUUCGCCUGUGACGAAGCGUGAGUGACGGUAAUGGGUAAAGAAGCACCGGCUAACUACGUG